rnacentral:rRNA from 1 species
CCCUUAGAUGUUCUGGGCCGCACGCGCGCUACACUGAUGCAUUCAACGAGCCUAUCCUUGACCGACAGGUCCGGGUAAUCUUUGAAUCUGCAUCGUGACGGGGAUAGAUUAUUGCAAUUAUUAAUCUUCAACGAGGAAUGCCUAGUAGGCGCAAGUCAUCAGCUUGCGUCGAUUACGUCCUGCCCUUUGUACACACCGCCCGUCGCUCCUACCGAUUGGGUGUGCUGGUGAAAUGUUCGGAUCGGCCGUUUGUCGCGGUUUCCGCGUCAUGUGGCUGAGAAGUUCAUUAAACCCUCCCACCUAGAGGAAGGAGAAGUCGUAACA